ensembl:lncRNA
CCUUGGGCUGUCAAUGUCCAGACCUGCAGCCAGUGAGCAACAAGUAUGCAGGAUGGUGGGUCUGGAAGGGGAAAAGUGCCUGUGACAAGACUGGUUCCUGGGUCACUUGUGGAGACAGACUCGAGCAGGUUCCAGUGGCCGAUUCUUAUGCAUGCUGCUCCCGCUUGGGCCCACAGAGCAGUUGUGACUGCACUGCGGGGUCACAGGGGUCAUGAGCUGUGAUUGCCGGCGGGCUCCCUGCUCCGAGGACCCAGAAGACUCUGAAGUCCACCAUGAAUUUCUGCAGCUAGGGAGAAGUGUCCUCAAGGGAAAUCAAGGCCAAGAUUUGCCCCAAACAACUUCUCUCCAUCUGCCUUCUUGGUGAGCGUGUGGCGGGAAGACGACCGCCCCCACGUCCAUGGUCUCAGCUCGGUUUCAGAGCUGCUUUUCCUAAUAAAUAAACACUCAG